rnacentral:tRNA from 1 species
CCAGAUAGCUCAGUCGGUAGAGCGGAGGACUGAAAAUCCUUGUGUCCCUGGUUCGAUUCCUGGUCUGGC